rnacentral:rRNA from 1 species
AAUGAACGCUGGCGGUAGGCCUAACACAUGCCAGUCGAACGGCAGCACAGUAAUAGCUUGCUCUUACGGGUGGCGAGUGGCGGACGGGUGAGGAAUACAUCGGAAUCUACUUUUUCGUGGGGGAUAACGUAGGGAUACUUACGCUAAUACCUCCUACGACCUACGGGUGAAAUCAGGAGAUCUUCGGACCUUGCGCGAAUGCAUGAGCCGAUGUCGGAUUAGCUAGUUGGCGGGGUAAAGGCCCACCAAGGCGACGAUCCGUAGCUGGUCUGAGAGGAUGAACAGCCACACUGGAACUGAGACACGGUCCAGACUCCUACGGGAGGCAGCAGUGGGGAAUAUUGGACAAUGGGCGCAAGCCUGAUCCAGCCAUACCGCGUGGGUGAAGAAGGCCUUCGGGUGGUAAAGCCCUUUUGUUGGGAAAGAAAAGCAGCAGGUUAAUACCCCGCUGUUCUGACGGUACCCAAAGAAUAAGCACCGGCUAACUUCGUG